rnacentral:rRNA from 1 species
UCGUAGUUGGAUUUCUGUUAAUAAUUUAUAUAAAAUAUUUUGAUGAAUAUUUAUAUAAUAUUAACAUAAUUCAUAUUACUAUAUAUUUUAGUAUAUGAAAUUUUACUUUGAGAAAAUUAGAGUGCUUAAAGCAGGCAUAUGCCUUGAAUACUCCAGCAUGGAAUAAUAUUAAAGAUUUUUAUCUUUCUUAUUGGUUCUAAGAUAAGAAUAAUGAUUAAUAGGGACAGUUGGGGGCAUUUGUAUUUAACAGUCAGA